CAAGGCUUGGCUGCUAAAGUGGCAACCGUUUAAGAGGUCUUGGGCCACUAAAGCAAUUGCCGCUUAAGCGGACUAUGACCUCUUAAGCAACUACACAAGAUAUCAACAAUCAUUGAUCCUUGUGCAUGCCUACCAAACUCCGAUUAGACCCUUGAAAUUUGAUUGGGACCCCCACAGAGACAAACCAUAUAUGCUACCAGGGGUGCCUCAAAACUUUGGACCAAUGCAAUUUGGUAGUUGGAUCCCAAGCUCUAACACCUCACUUCCCUCUUCACUCUUGACACAGAUGUUUCGGAGAAGUAGUUCAGUCGCAAUUUAUUUCCCCCAGAUCUGGGAAGUCAAUUUUUAAGGAGGAUGAAUAGGAGCUCAGCCAAGUUAACAAGUCAACAACAUAAAUAGAGGUAGUGAUUGCUUUCUACAACAACUCAAAAACUAGAAUUCCCAAGGGAGAAAAAUUGCAAAGGCCCUAUGGUAGCUGAUAUCAUCAAAGGCAACAGACUAGCACAACAAGGUAUGACUUUACAGUUCUUCCCUCCAGUGUUGAAGGAUGGAUUAAAGCUAGUCCAAGUCUACCAGGAUAAAAUUGAGGCUCAAUGUGAGAAAUGGAGCACGACAUUGAUAUGGUACGUUAUAAAAGGUUCAAAUGCUCGGAUUCCCGAUCGCAUAGACUUUCUAGCAUAUCGGCAGCAGCAGCCGUGGUGAGUCCUCUUUCUUCGAGGACGAGUUACUUUAUAUUUAGUUAAGUCAGUAGGUUUAGAUUUUAAUCAGCCGGAGUUAGUUGGGGGCUUGUCCCAUCAACUCUACUGUUAGACAGUUAGAGGCUUUUAGACUAGUACAGACAGCUUGUCAGUUUUCAGUGGUGAUUAUCAGACAUUUUAUUAGUAUUGCCAAUUUAUUUUCAAA